UUUCCGAAGUGCAAUCGGAAGAGACAAGUCCGCAGUAGGAGCAGGGUCAGGUGCAGGACGUGAAUCAACCGGGCCGGAUGCUGGGCGAGGAGGACGAUGAUAUGUCAAGAGUGGAGUGUCUCGUGCAGGGAGUCUAUGAGGAGCCACAGUAGACGUUCCAACGUUUGGAAUGGGUAAGACUUCUGUAGCAGAAGGUGAAGGAGGAGAUAUAGUAAACUCCCUAACGGCCGGUAUAGGUAAAAUCUCAGAUAUAUCAAGAUGGUAAGAAUGGUCAGAAGAGGUAAAGAAAGGUUUAGACUCAAAAAUGUGACAUAAGCUGACAUAAGGUACCUACGAAGAUCAGGUGAAUAACAAUGAUAGCCCUUCUGAGCACGAGAAUAACCAAGGAAGACACACUUGAGAGCACGAGGAGCUAACUUAUCUUUCCCAGGAGCUAAGUUAUGAACNNN
rnacentral:lncRNA from 1 species